rnacentral:tRNA from 1 species
GGAGAGGUGGCCGAGUGGUUUAAGGCGCACGCCUGGAAAGUGUGUAUUCUGUGUGAAACGGAAUCGGGGGUUCGAAUCCCUUCCUCUCCG